rnacentral:lncRNA from 1 species
UUAUUUUAUACUUUAUUUUCUUUCAUCUUUUAAAACUUUUUUUAAAUUUAUUUUCUCUAUAAUUUAAACUUAGUUUAAAUAAUCAAGUGUCCCGUAACCUUUUUAAUUAUUCUACUCCAAGACAAAUCAGAUUGACAUUUAGUUGAGACAGAUCAGGCUGACAGAUUACAAGACAAACACCGGGUUUUCAAAUACCAGAUUCUCAGAACCGGUAAUGGAAGUACAUUGAUGACCCAAUCCAAUUGAUUACUCAAAGGAUCAUUAGAAGCAGUUUUCCAUGUUCGACAAAGAUGAUUGUGAUUCGAAGAAGAUUCCAUUGAAGACUAAUUUGGUACUACUGACAGUGGAUUUUGAAGAAGAUACUUCAGGCCUUGAUCUGAGUAAUUACUCCUACUUGAUUAUCAGAUCACCAGAUCAGGAUGGGA